rnacentral:snoRNA from 1 species
CCCCUCUCAGGAUCUUACCUGGAGAGUUUCCAGUACUCUACCAGUCUCGGCUAAGGGAGGGAGAGUCUAGAGGAGGCAUACCUAUUCCAUUCCUAGCUUGUGCAGUGGCUAGAGAGUGGAAGGCAAUCUGCUACAAGU